rnacentral:rRNA from 1 species
UGUCGGGGUAACGGCCCAACAAGCCAGUAAUCGGUACGGGUUGUGGGAGCAAGAGCCCGGAGUUGGAUUCUGAGACGCGAAUCCAGGCCCUACGGGGCGCAGCAGGCGCGAAAACUUUACAAUGCGGGCAACCGUGAUAAGGGAACCUCGAGUGCCUGUAUAUGCAGGCUGUCUGGGUGUCUAAAACACACCUAAAGAAAGGGCCGGGCAAGACCGGUGCCAGCCGCCGCGGUAAUACCGGCGGCUCGAGUGGUGGCCACUUUUAUUGGGCUUAAAGCGUUCGUAGCUGGGUUAUUAAGUCCCUUGGGAAAUCCGACGGCUUAACCGUCGGGCGUCUAAGGGAUACUGGCAAUCUUGGAACCGGGAGAGGUGAGGGGUACUUCGGGGGUAGGGGUGAAAUCCUGUAAUCCUCGAGGGACCACCUGUGGCGAAGGCGCCUCACCAGAACGGCUUCGACAGUGAGGGACGAAAGCUGGGGGAGCAAACCGGAUUAGAU